GGUUAAGCGACUAAGCGUACACGGUGGAUGCCCUGGCAGUCAGAGGCGAUGAAGGACGUGCUAAUCUGCGAAAAGCGUCGGUAAGGUGAUAUGAACCGUUAUAACCGGCGAUGUCCGAAUGGGGAAACCCAGUGCAAUUCGUUGCACUAUCGUUAACUGAAUACAUAGGUUAACGAGGCGAACCGGGGGAACUGAAACAUCUAAGUACCCCGAGGAAAAGAAAUCAACCGAGAUUCCCCCAGUAGCGGCGAGCGAACGGGGAGCAGCCCAGAGUCUGAAUCAGCUUGUGUGUUAGUGGAACGGUCUGGAAAGUCCGACGGUACAGGGUGAUAGUCCCGUACACCAAAAUGCACAGGUUGUGAACUCGAAGAGUAGGGCGGGACACGUGGUAUCCUGUCUGAAUAUGGGGGGACCAUCCUCCAAGGCUAAAUACUCCUGACUGACCGAUAGUGAACCAGUACCGUGAGGGAAAGGCGAAAAGAACCCCGGCGAGGGGAGUGAAAAAGAACCUGAAACCGUGUACGUACAAGCAGUGGGAGCACCUUCGGGUGUGACUGCGUACCUUUUGUAUAAUGGGUCAGCGACUUAUAUUCUGUAGCAAGGUUAACCGUAUAGGGGAGCCGCAGGGAAACCGAGUCUUAACUGGGCGUUAAGUUGCAGGGUAUAGACCCGAAACCCGGUGAUCUAGCCAUGGGCAGGUUGAAGGUUGGGUAACACUAACUGGAGGACCGAACCGACUAAUGUUGAAAAAUUAGCGGAUGACUUGUGGCUGGGGGUGAAAGGCCAAUCAAACCGGGAGAUAGCUGGUUCUCCCCGAAAGCUAUUUAGGUAGCGCCUCGUGAAUUCAUCUUCGGGGGUAGAGCACUGUUUCGGCUAGGGGGUCAUCCCGACUUACCAACCCGAUGCAAACUACGAAUACCGAAGAAUGUUAUCACGGGAGACACACGGCGGGUGCUAACGUCCGUCGUGAAGAGGGAAACAACCCAGACCGCCAGCUAAGGUCCCAAAGUCAUGGUUAAGUGGGAAACGAUGUGGGAAGGCACAGACAGCCAGGAUGUUGGCUUAGAAGCAGCCAUCAUUUAAAGAAAGCGUAAUAGCUCACUGGUCGAGUCGGCCUGCGCGGAAGAUGUAACGGGGCUAAACCAUGCACCGAAGCUGCGGCAGCGACACUAUGUGUUGUUGGGUAGGGGAGCGUUCUGUAAGCCUGCGAAGGUGUGCUGUGAGGCAUGCUGGAGGUAUCAGAAGUGCGAAUGCUGACAUAAGUAACGAUAAAGCGGGUGAAAAGCCCGCUCGCCGGAAGACCAAGGGUUCCUGUCCAACGUUAAUCGGGGCAGGGUGAGUCGACCCCUAAGGCGAGGCCGAAAGGCGUAGUCGAUGGGAAACAGGUUAAUAUUCCUGUACUUGGUGUUACUGCGAAGGGGGGACGGAGAAGGCUAUGUUAGCCGGGCGACGGUUGUCCCGGUUUAAGCAUGUAGGCUGGUUGUCCAGGCAAAUCCGGAUAAUCAAGGCUGAGGUGUGAUGACGAGGCACUACGGUGCUGAAGUAACAAAUGCCCUGCUUCCAGGAAAAGCCUCUAAGCAUCAGGUAACAUCAAAUCGUACCCCAAACCGACACAGGUGGUCAGGUAGAGAAUACCAAGGCGCUUGAGAGAACUCGGGUGAAGGAACUAGGCAAAAUGGUGCCGUAACUUCGGGAGAAGGCACGCUGGUGUGUAGGUGAAGCCCCUGCGGGUGGAGCUGAGACCAGUCGAAGAUACCAGCUGGCUGCAACUGUUUAUUAAAAACACAGCACUGUGCAAACACGAAAGUGGACGUAUACGGUGUGACGCCUGCCCGGUGCCGGAAGGUUAAUUGAUGGGGUUAUCCGUAAGGAGAAGCUCUUGAUCGAAGCCCCGGUAAACGGCGGCCGUAACUAUAACGGUCCUAAGGUAGCGAAAUUCCUUGUCGGGUAAGUUCCGACCUGCACGAAUGGCGUAAUGAUGGCCAGGCUGUCUCCACCCGAGACUCAGUGAAAUUGAACUCGCUGUGAAGAUGCAGUGUACCCGCGGCAAGACGGAAAGACCCCGUGAACCUUUACUAUAGCUUGACACUGAACAUUGAGCCUUGAUGUGUAGGAUAGGUGGGAGGCUUUGAAGCGUGGACGCCAGUCUGCGUGGAGCCAACCUUGAAAUACCACCCUUUAAUGUUUGAUGUUCUAACGUUGGCCCCUGACCGGGGUUGCGGACAGUGUCUGGUGGGUAGUUUGACUGGGGCGGUCUCCUCCCAAAGCGUAACGGAGGAGCACGAAGGUUAGCUAAUCCUGGUCGGACAUCAGGAGGUUAGUGCAAUGGCAUAAGCUAGCUUGACUGCGAGCGUGACGGCGCGAGCAGGUGCGAAAGCAGGUCAUAGUGAUCCGGUGGUUCUGAAUGGAAGGGCCAUCGCUCAACGGAUAAAAGGUACUCCGGGGAUAACAGGCUGAUACCGCCCAAGAGUUCAUAUCGACGGCGGUGUUUGGCACCUCGAUGUCGGCUCAUCACAUCCUGGGGCUGAAGUAGGUCCCAAGGGUAUGGCUGUUCGCCAUUUAAAGUGGUACGCGAGCUGGGUUUAGAACGUCGUGAGACAGUUCGGUCCCUAUCUGCCGUGGGCGCUGGAGAAUUGAGGGGGGCUGCUCCUAGUACGAGAGGACCGGAGUGGACGCAUCACUGGUGUUCGGGUUGUCAUGCCAAUGGCACUGCCCGGUAGCUAAAUGCGGAAGAGAUAAGUGCUGAAAGCAUCUAAGCACGAAACUUGCCCCGAGAUGAGUUCUCCCUGAGACUUUAAGUCUCCUGAAGGAACGUUGAAGACGACGACGUUGAUAGGCCGGGUGUGUAAGCGCAGCGAUGCGUUGAGCUAACCGGUACUAAUGAACCGUGAGGCUUAACCUU
rnacentral:rRNA from 1 species